AGAGCGGUCCAGAUGUUGGCCGACAUCUGUUGGUGGCUGCAGCGCUGACUCCGCCUCUGCUGGUUCAGGGCUGUCAGGAAGUUACUGACCGCGUCCCUGCAGAACCGGGACAGGAACCAUUUCAGAACAUGAACACAUGAGUCAUCCCCCACAAACUGUCUACACCUGGACUGUACCCUACACUCUGACUGGCUACUGGAUUUCCUGACAGGCAGGCCUCAGUCUGUAAGGAUUGGAAAGGAGGUCAGACACCACCGUAAUGAACCACACAGGGGUGUGUCCUCAGCCACAUCCUCUACACACUGUUCACCCAUGACUGUGUCGCCUCCCACAAAGACAAAAUCAUCCUGAGGUUCACAGAUGACACUGCCUUGGUAGGAAGGAUGACUGGGGGAGAUGAAGCAGCCUAUAGGAGCGAGGUGGCCAGUCUCAGACCUCAUCAGCCACUGUUUAUCCAGGAGCUUGAGGUACCUUGGGGUCCACAUCAGUGAGGACCUCACCUGGACUCUUAAUACCACACAGCUGGUGAAGAAGACACAACAGCGGCUGUACUUUCUGAGGAUGCUGAGGACCUUUAGUUUGUCACAAAAGGUCCUCAGCAACUUCUGCAGCUGCACGGCUGACCAGCUACAUCACUGUGUGGUACGGCAGCACCACAGUUGGGGACCGCAAACGUCUGCAAAGAGGAGACAGCUGAGGAGAUCAUCGGGACUUCUCUGUCCUCUUCUCUGUCCUCUCUGCAGGGUAUUUGUCAUCAAGGGUCCACAGGAGCGCUGCCUUCAUCCUCACGGACCCUCAAUAUGGACUGUUUACACUCCAUCCAUCAGGUCGGAUGUGCAGGAGUCUGGAGUGUAGCACCUCCAGGAACUCAGCCGUCAGAUUACGAACAGUCAACCAGGUCUGACUGCAACUGACUGAUGCUGCUGUUAUUGUUGCUAUUAUUAUUAUUGUUACUAUUAUUGUUAGCCUUAUUAUUAUUAUUGUAUCAUUACUAUUAAAUAUUAUUUUUAUUAUUAUUAUUAUUAUUUUUCUAUAUAGUUUGUAUAGCUUUUAGUUUCAUUUCUGCUAUCUUCUUUUUAUUCAUCUGUCCCAGCAUUCAUUGUGGACAAGCAAUGUAAGAAUUUAAUUGCACAGGAACCUGUACAUAAAACAAUAAACGCUUUUUACUUUGACUAUC